ACUCAAAGGAAUUGACGGGGGCCCGCACAAGCGGUGGAGGAUGUGGUUUAAUUCGACGCAACGCGAAGAACCUUACCUGGGCUUGAACCGCUAGCUAAACCCUUGGAAACAAGGGCUGGGUCAAACCGAGCUAGUAGAGGUGCUGCAUGGCUGUCGUCAGCUCGUGUCGUGAGAUGUUGGGUUAAGUCCCGCAACGAGCGCAACCCUUGUCGUUAGUUACCAGCGAGUCAUGUCGGGGACUCUAACGAGACUGCCGGUGGUAAACCGGAGGAAGGUGGGGAUGACGUCAAGUCCUCAUGGCCCUUACGUCCAGGGCUACACACGUCCUACAAUGGCCAGGACAACGGGAUGCAAGAGCGCGAGCUGGAGCAGAUCCCUUAAACCUGGUCUCAGUUCAGAUUGCAGUCUGCAACUCGACUGCAUGAAGUUGGAAUCGCUAGUAAUCGCGGAUCAGCACGCCGCGGUGAAUACGUUCCCGGGCCUUGUACACACCGCCCGU
rnacentral:rRNA from 1 species